CUCCAGAGCAUGGCAGUGAGACCACGGGGGAUGAGCUUCGUUGGUCGAAAGGGAAACAGCCCAGAUCAUCAGCUAAGGCCCCAAAUUCAGGACUAAGUGGAAAACGAUGUGGAUUUGCACAGACAGCCAGGAGGUUGGCUUAGAAGCAGCCAUCCUUAAAAGAGUGCGUAACAGCUCACUGGUCGAGUGAAUCUGCGCGGACAAUUUAACGGGGCUCAAGUCCUGAGCCGAAGCUAUGGAUUUCAACGUUUUACGUUGGAGUGGUAGAGGAGCGUUGAUGAAGCACUGAAGCGGCGGGAUAACCCGACGUGGAGUUUCAUCAAGUGAGAAUGUAGGCAUGAGUAGCGAGAGAGGAGUGAGAAACUCCUCCGCCGUAAGCCCAAGGGUUCCUGGGGAAGGCUAAUCCUCCCAGGGUAAGUCGGGAGCUAAGACGAGGCCGCGAGGCGUAGUCGAUGCACAACUGGUUGAUAUUCCAGUACCGCCAUAUACGCGCAAAGCUCAAUUUCGGUGAAGCAGGGGCUGCCUUCGGGCGAUCCUGACUAGCUGGAUGCGGGUAACUGAAGGGGGACACAGAAGGAUAGGUGAACCGGGGCGAUGGUUGUCCCCGGGUAAGUGUGUAGGAGGACUGCGAUGAGAAUUGCGGUCGUAACUCUGAGACACGAUGCCGAGCGGGUUUCCGCGAAGUCACUAAUUCCAUGCUGUCGAGAAAAGCCCAGCAGUGAGUUUGUAUGGCGCCCGUACCCCAAACCGACGCAGGUGGGCGGGUAGAGAAUACCGAGGCGAUCGGGAGAACUAUGGUUAAGGAACUCGGCAAAAUGCCUCCGUAACUUCGGAAGAAGGAGGACCCACGUAGGGUGAAGAGACUUCGCGUCUCCAGCCUGAAUGGGUGGCACAGAGCAGGGGGUAGCGACUGUUUAACAAAAACACAGCAGCGUGCGAAGCCGCAAGGCGCUGUAUACGCUGUGACGCCUGCCCAAUGCUGGAAGGUCACGAGGAACGGUUAGCCGCAAGGCGAAGCUGUGAAUCUAAGCCCCAGUGAAUGGCGGCCGUAACUAUAACGGUCCUAAGGUAGCGAAA
rnacentral:rRNA from 1 species